CUUGGUCAUUUAGAGGAAGUAAAAGUCGUAACAAGGUCUCCGUAGGUGAACCUGCGGAGGGAUCAUUACACAAAUAUGAAGGCGGGCUGGAACCUCUCGGGGUUACAGCCUUGCUGAAUUAUUCACCCUUGUCUUUUGCGUACUUCUUGUUUCCUUGGUGGGUUCGCCCACCACUAGGACAAACAUAAACCUUUUGUAAUUGCAAUCAGCGUCAGUAACAAAUUAAUAAUUACAACUUUCAACAACGGAUCUCUUGGUUCUGGCAUCGAUGAAGAACGCAGCGAAAUGCGAUAAGUAGUGUGAAUUGCAGAAUUCAGUGAAUCAUCGAAUCUUUGAACGCACAUUGCGCCCUUUGGUAUUCCAAAGGGCAUGCCUGUUCGAGCGUCAUUUGUACCCUCAAGCUUUGCUUGGUGUUGGGCGUCUUGUCUCUAGCUUUGCUGGAGACUCGCCUUAAAGUAAUUGGCAGCCGGCCUACUGGUUUCGGAGCGCAGCACAAGUCGCACUCUCUAUCAGCAAAGGUCUAGCAUCCAUUAAGCCUUUUUUUCAACUUUUGACCUCGGAUCAGGUAGGGAUACCCGCUGAACUUAAGCAUAUCAAU
rnacentral:rRNA from 1 species